GAUGAUGCCUUACCAGAUAAUUCCUGUAGAGCACUGAUGUCCUACCCUGGCUGCCUGGCAUUAAUAAUUUAUCUAGGAUAGAUACAUAAAGAGGAAGUACUGCAAUAUAGAGGAUACGACCCUUUAACUCUACUAGAUACUGAAAAAGUGUUUUCUGAAAGGCUGAAGACUAGUAUUUCAUCAGAUAUGUAUGUUGCACAAAUAGAACUUUACCAAAUCUCCAGCUUGCUUCUGAAGUUUCCCC